CGCGUAGGUGGUUGUUUAAGGUUGAUGUGAAAUCCCUGGGCUUAACCUAGGAACUGCAUCGAUGACUGAAGAGCUGGAGUACUGUAGAGGGUAGUGGAAUUUCCGGUGUAGCGGUGAAAUGCGUAGAGAUCGGAAGGAACACCAGUGGUGAAGGCGGCUACCUGGACAGAUACUGACACUGAGGCGCGAGAGCGUGGGUAGCAAACA
rnacentral:rRNA from 1 species